AGAUUGAACGCUGGCGGCAGGCCUAACACAUGCAAGUCGAGCGGUAGAGAGGUGCUUGCACCUCUUGAGAGCGGCGGACGGGUGAGUAAUGCCUAGGAAUCUGCCUAGUGGUGGGGGAUAACGUUCGGAAACGGACGCUAAUACCGCAUACGUCCUACGGGAGAAAGCGGGGGACCUUCGGGCCUCGCGCCAUUAGAUGAGCCUAGGUCGGAUUAGCUAGUUGGUGAGGUAAUGGCUCGACCAAGGCGACGAUACCGUACGUGGUCUGAGAGGAUGUAUCUGUCACACGUGGAACUGACGACCACGGUCCAGUACCUACCGUACGGGAGCCGAGCGAGGUAGGGAAUAGUUAGGAACAGUGGGACGAAAGCC
rnacentral:rRNA from 1 species